AUUUUUUGCGUUCUUGAUUCAAGAAGAAAGGAAAAAAAAAUACAAAGGAAAAAAAGGAAAAGACAAAGAACACCAACAUUUCACGUAUGGAAGAAAAGAAAAAAAAGUAACAAAUGAAAACUCUUUUGCCUCUUCAUCGAUAUCACCACCAGUACUAAGACGAUAGCCACUUCAUGGGCUUUCUUAGAAAAAAAAAAAUUUUAACUCAAACCGAU
rnacentral:lncRNA from 1 species